CUACGGGUCGCUGCAGUGAGGAAUAUUGCACAAUGGGGGAAACCCUGAUGCAGCAACGCCGCGUGGAGGAUGACGCAUUUCGGUGUGUGAACUCCUUUUAUCAGAGAAGAAAAUGACGGUAUCUGAUGAAUAAGCUCCGGCUAACUCCGUGCCAGCAGCCGCGGUAAUACGGAGGGAGCAAGCGUUAUUCGGAAUCACUGGGCGUAAAGGACGCGUAGGCGGGUUGUUAAGUCAGGUGUGAAAUCCUAUGGCUCAACCAUAGAACUGCACUUGAAACUGGGGAGCUAGAGUAUGGAAGGGGCAGGUGGAAUUAGUGGUGUAGGGGUAAAAUCCGUAGAUAUCACUAGGAAUACCGAAAGCGAAGGCGACCUGCUGGGACAUUACUGACGCUGAGGCGUGAAAGCGUGGGGAGCAAACAGGAUUAGAUACCCUCGUAGUC
rnacentral:rRNA from 1 species